GGGUGUCGGCCGCAACCUGCGGCAAGACAGGUUCAUUGCGCUGGUCGGGCCGCCACG
rnacentral:ncRNA from 11 species